CACAUUUCUGAAAUGCGUCUUUCAUACCAAGGGAGAAUGCAAUAGAGCACAAGCAUAUUCUAUGUAAAUAUUUUAACAUCUAUACCGAUUUGAAAGAAAGGAGGGUGGAAAAAAGAGAAAACAUAAUGAGAAUAUCAAUAAGGUGCUAUAUCACACAGAUUCAUCCCACUAAACGCUUGUGGAGAUGCCUUCUACAUUAGGCCAUAUCAGACGCUACGCCUAGCAAGCUGGUAGCAACUUAGCGUUGAGAGACCAGUGCCAGCAUCUGAGUGCUAUGCAAGCACAUUGAAGUUCCUGACUCUGGGUAAAUGAUAUCGCUGUUUCAUGUCAGUCCUUCAAAGAUCAGCCAACCAAGGAGGCAGCCUUCUUAACGGAGU